ensembl:ncRNA C53C9.4 ncRNA
AGCUUUUACAUCGCCUCAUCAUUUUCAGCGUCUUUAGUUAUUUCAGAAUGUGAGACAGAUUCGGAAACGAAAGAAAAAGUGGCAGAGAUCUAAUUGAUGAAUUGAACCCCCAUCUGCGGCUAUGUUCUCUUUUUGUUCAAC